rnacentral:rRNA from 1 species
GUGGUUACUAGCAUCUCCGACCUCAGAUCGGACGAGAUUACCCGCUGAAUUUAAGCAUAUCAUUAAGCGGAGGA